UCUCAGUUCGGAUUGGGGUCUGCAACUCGACCCCAUGAAGUCGGAGUCGCUAGUAAUCGCAGAUCAGCAACGCUGCGGUGAAUACGUUCCCGGGCCUUGUACACACCGCCCGUCAAGUCACGAAAGUUGGUAACACCCGAAGCCGGUGGCCUAACCGCAAGGAGGGAGCCGUCGAAGGUGGGAUCAGCGAUUGGGGUGAAGUCGUAACAAGGUAGCCGUACCGGAAGGUGCGGCUGGAUCACCUCCUUU
rnacentral:rRNA from 1 species